CCUACGGGGUGCAGCAGUGAGGAAUAUUGGUCAAUGGGCGGGAGCCUGAACCAGCCAAGUCGCGUGAGGGAAGACGGUCCUAUGGAUUGUAAACCUCUUUAGGCGGGGAGCAAUGCCGGGCACGCGUGCCCGGUGGGAGAGUACCCGCAGAAUAAGCAUCGGCUAACUCCGUGCCAGCAGCCGCGGUAAUACGGAGGAUGCGAGCGUUAUCCGGAUUUUUUGGGUUUAAAGGGUGCGUAGGCGGAUUUUUAAGUCAGCGGUAAAAUGUCCGGGCUCAACCCGGGCCGGCCGUUGAAACUGGGGAUCUUGAGUGGGCGAGAGGUAUGCGGAAGGCGUGGUGUAGCGGUGAAAUGCAUAGAUAUCACGAAGAACUCCGAUUGCGAAGGCAGCAUACCGGCGCCCGACUGACGCUGAGGCACGAAAGCGUGGGGAUCGAACAGGAUUAGAUACCCGGGUAGUC
rnacentral:rRNA from 1 species